rnacentral:rRNA from 1 species
AUUGAACGCUGGCGGCAUGCCUUACACAUGCAAGUCGAACGGCAGCACGGGUGCUUGCACCUGGUGGCGAGUGGCGAACGGGUGAGUAAUACAUCGGGACAUGUCCUGUAGUGGGGGAUAGCCCGGCGAAAGCCGGAUUAAUACCGCAUACGAUCUACGGAUGAAAGCGGGGGACCUUCGGGCCUCGCGCUAUCGGGUUGGCCGAUGGCUGAUUAGCUAGUUGGUGGGGUAAAGGCCUACCAAGGCGACGAUCAGUAGCUGGUCUGAGAGGACGACCAGCCACACUGGGACUGAGACACGGCCCAGACUCCUACGGGAGGCAGCAGUGGGGAAUUUUGGACAAUGGGCGAAAGCCUGAUCCAGCAAUGCCGCGUGUGUGAAGAAGGCCUUCGGGUUGUAAAGCACUUUUGUCCGGAAAGAAAUCCUUGGCCCUAAUACGGUCGGGGGAUGACGGUACCGGAAGAAUAAGCACCGGCUAACUACGUG